CGAACGGUAACAGGAAGCAGCUUGCUGCUUCGCUGACGAGUGGCGGACGGGUGAGUAAUGUCUGGGAAACUGCCUGAUGGAGGGGGAUAACUACUGGAAACGGUAGCUAAUACCGCAUAAUGUCGCAAGACCAAAGAGGGGGACCUUAGGGCCUCUUGCCAUCGGAUGUGCCCAGAUGGGAUUAGCUAGUAGGUGGGGUAACGGCUCACCUAGGCGACGAUCCCUAGCUGGUCUGAGAGGA
rnacentral:rRNA from 1 species